rnacentral:rRNA from 1 species
AACGUAGGAGACAAACGUUAUCCGGAGUUACUGGGCGUAAAGGGCGUGUAGGUGGUAGUGUAAGUCUGGCGUGAAAUUUUUCGGCUUAACCGGGAAAGGUCGUCGGAUACUGCACAACUAGAGGACGGUAGAGGCGUGUGGAAUUCCGGGUGUAGUGGUGAAAUGCGUAGAGAUCCGGAGGAACACCAGUGGCGAAGGCGACACGCUGGGCCGUACCUGACACUGAGUGCGCGACAGCAUGGGGAGCAAACGAGG